rnacentral:rRNA from 1 species
UACGUAGGGUGCAAGCAUUGUCCGGAAUUAUUGGGCGUAAAGAGCUCGUAGGCGGUUUGUUGCGUCGGCUGUGAAAUCCCGAGGCUCAACCUCGGGUCUGCAGUCGAUACGAGCAAACUAGAGUGUUGCAGGGGAGACUGGAAUUCCUGGUGUAGCGGUGAAAUGCGCAGAUAUCAGGAGGAACCCGGUGGCGAAGACGGGUCUCUGGGCAACAACUGACGCUGAGGAGCGAAAGCGUGGGGAGCGAACAGG